AAGACUCUCGGCAACGGAUAUCUCGGCUCUUGCAUCGAUGAAGAACGUAGCGAAAUGCGAUACUUGGUGUGAAUUGCAGAAUCCCGUGAACCAUCGAGUCUUUGAACGCAAGUUGCACCCGAAGCCAUUAGGCUGAGGGCACGCCUGCCUGGGUGUUGCACAU
rnacentral:rRNA from 1 species